GUGCAAAAGUUCCCAGUAAGGGGAUCUCUGAGCAUCCAACUAAUCUGCCAAAUGUGUCCACCUCUUCCCCGAGCCCUAAGAAUGAUGAAGCUGAAGAUCAUAUAGAUAUUGAGGACAUAUUUGGUUCUAGUUCCCCUUAUGAUGAUAACACAGCUGAAGAAAAAGGUGAUGGGGAUUUGGAUAUCAUUGUAUCACGGCAAAAUGAAACUGAUGACGAGAUUGCUGAUGUGGAUGAUAGUGGUGAUGAAGUACAUAAGGGGCGCAAUGCUGCAGAAGCCCUUAGAGCCCAGGUUAAUGCUGAAGAAAGGGA
rnacentral:lncRNA from 1 species